UGGCGAACGGGUGAGUAACAGGUGGAAAACCUGCCCUAUAAUGGGGGAUAACAGUUCUAACGAGCUGCUAAUACCGCAUACGACCUUUGGAUCGCAUGAUCCGAAGGUGAAAGGUGGCCUCUCUUUGAAGCUGCCGUUAUAGGAUGGUUCCGCCUCCCAUUAGCUUGUUGGUGGGGUAAUGGCCUACCAAGGCGACGAUGGGUAGCCGGCCUGAGAGGGUGUCCGGCCACACUGGGACUGAGAUACGGCCCAGACUCCUACGGGAGGCAGCAGUCGAGAAGCUUCGGCAAUGGGCGAAAGCCUGACCGAGCGAUGCCGCGUGAGUGAAGAAGGCCCUAUGGGUUGUAAAGCUCUGUCAGAUUGGGAAGAAAACUCUGCGGUUAAUACCCGUAGAGCUUGACGGUACCAUCAGAGGAAGCACCGGCUAACUCCGUGCCAGCAGCCGCGGUAAUACGGAGGGUGCAAGCGUUGUUCGGAUUCACUGGGUAUAAAGGGUGCGCAGGCGGCCCGAUAAGUCAGGGGUGAAAUAUGACGGCUUAACCGUCAAACUGCCCCUGAAACUGUCAGGCUUGAGUUCGAGAGAGGUAGGUGGAAUUCCAGGUGUAGCGGUGAAAUGCGUAAAUAUCUGGAGGAACACCGGUAGCGAAGGCGGCCUACUGGCUCGAUACUGACGCUCAGGCACGAAAGCAUGGGGAGCGAACGGGAUUAGAUACCCCGGUAGUCCAUGCCGUAAACGAUGGGUACUAGGUGUUGGAGGAUUCUACCCCUUCAGUGCCGCAGCUAACGCAUUAAGUACCCCACCUGGGGAGUACGAUCGCAAGGUUGAAACUCAAAGGAAUUGACGGGGGCCCGCACAAGCGGUGGAGCAUGUGGUUUAAUUCGAUGCAACGCGAAGAACCUUACCUGGGCUUGACAUGCAGGGGACAGGUGUAGAAAUACAUCCUUCUUCGGACUCCUGUACAG
rnacentral:rRNA from 1 species